CACUGGCCCUGUUGUUCGAAAAACCAAGAACUGCAUGACAAAAAUCAACAAAGCUAUGAUUAAAGACCUUGACCAGGAGUUUGGCUCUCCAAAAACAAUACUGGAGGCUGCAAUAACAUCAAACAGUACAUCUUUUGAUGAUGCUGUUGUGAAGUAUCUGAAAAUCCAUAUAAAUGCCCUCCUCAAUUCACCCCCAAAGAAGUCCGCAGUUGGCAGGUUCUUUUCAGCAGUGGGAAAAGCUGCAAGCACAACCUUCAUGUGGUUGUCCAGUAGCUUAAACCUCACCUGUGUCACUCUGACCUGACCUGUCAACAGACCUUUCUCAUAGCGGCCAUUUUGACGUACAGCAGCAGUUCUGUUCUGUUUCUGAUGGCAGAUGGCACCUUAGCCUCUGCCUCAGUGUGUGAAUGGGGUAAAUGUGAUGUAGUGUAAAAGUGCUUUUAGUGGUGGUUGUCCGCUGUGAGAAACGUUCAGUGCCGCAUGUCAGCUCAGUGUUCAACACUGUGGCCUAGCAGCAAAAAUCAGGGUUGGAUUCCCAGCCUUGAUCUUUGCGGUAUGGAGUUUCUAUACUCCCCGUGUUGGCAUGGGUUUUCUGUGGUUGCUGCAGUUUCCUCCCACAUUUCAAAAAAAAAAAAAAAAACAUAAAAUCAACAAAAUAAAUAAUUUAAAAAAAAUCUAAAAUAAUGUUUGAUUUUGGUCGUGUUUUCUACUGCUAUCAGAUUGGUUGAAUCUGAAUUUUUUUGCAUUGAGUGCAUGUGUAAUUUUCAGCUCAAUACAACAAAAUGAGCUUCACAAUAGAACAGUUUUUCUCAAACGUUUUCAUUUCAAAGACCCCUAAACUGCCACAAAUUAGACCACGGAUCCCCAUUUUGAUAAGAUUUUCCCCCAUCUGAAAGGAUUUUUGAUUUUAGAUGUUUUAUUACAGAAAUUGUAUAAGUCCCAAACAGUCAAACAUUCUGUCAUUGGGUUUUUUAUGGAUGGAAUAAUAGUGAAAAUAAAUAUAACUUUAAUUAUCGUCCCCAGUCUCAUCUAUUGUUACGACUACAAUUAGGCCCAUGAAAGCGGCUUGACUGUCUCUUUAGAUAAAACGUUUUUAUUCUUCCUGUGCACCUAAAUGCAAUCAGAGUCCGAAGAUGUUCUCACUUACACAUGAAACACGCAUUGAUGUCGGCAUACAGCAUUACUAUCCUAACGUUUUGAACAUGCAGCAUUAUUUAACUAAUCUCUUCUCCCUUACAGGACGUGGCGACGCAACUCAGACAGCUGCAGGACGAGCUGCUGAGGUUAAAGAAUAGGAUGAACUACCUGCUUCCAGCAGCAGACACUUUGCCCAACUUCGCUCUGGAGUCUCAAGACAUCUAAAUCAUCUUUGCCAUUUUCAUUUGUCAGAUUGUAAUUCACACUUGCUUUUUAGUGUAUGGAUUGCUUUCUUAUUUUCUUUGUGUGUGCUUUUGUGUGCAAGGGCCAGUGUUUUAUUCCAGCUAUCCUCUAACUAGCAGACACAAGAGGCAGGACAGAUAUUUUUUGGGGAAGCCUAUCUGGCAACCACCUGUGAGCCCAAGGACUGUUAUUCAGGUACACUCCCCCCUGGUCCUGGAAGCUGCUGGGUCUUUGAAGGUGGGCAUGGACAUUUAGACAUCGCCCUGUCCCACCCAGUCGCCAAAAAAACAAAGGUGUCUUCAACUUUGUGAAGCUGAAAGUCGACAGCAACUGGGGCCAUCCUGACCACUAGUGUCUGUACUUCUUCAGGGUCCAUGGGAAGCUUGCAGGCUGAAGACUGAAAUAAAGGAGAAGACAGAAGACCACCAUCUGGGUGCAGAGCAGUGAAUAAGUAUAUAAAGAGAGGUGAAAAUAAGCUGAAGGAGGCUCCAUGUGGAUCAGAGGAGAUACGUGGCUGUCUACACCGCAAAUUUUCUGUCCAAUUUCUGCAACACAAGCCGUAAUCUCCUCUACAUGUGCCCAGAUGUUUUCAGUCUGAUUCACUGUCACUGUGGACUGCACGAGAUAGACUGGUGUUCAGUUCUGGCUCUGAUUCUCUCUCUGUGUAGUUUGUGUAUUCUCUCCGUGUAUGUGUGGGUUUUCUCCGGGCUCCAGUUUCAUCCCACACUACAAAGACAUGCAGAUUAGGUUAAUUGGAUGUAUGCAUUAUUUAAACAAUAAAGACUUUUUUAUUUACUACAUGUUUUUAAUAAUG